AUCGUCAAUGCGACGUCCUCCUACUCCCACCUCAGAGCUGUCACAGAGACUGUCAGUUCCGUCCCUCCCCUUCAGCCCUUUAACGCACGUCUUCCCGACCGCAUAACUUGCUCAGUCCCUGCGGCCAACUGGGGCGGGCCAAUGGCUGUGACGGAUAAGGGGUGUGGGGUGCGGGGACAAUGGGCCAGAGCUUCUCAUGCAGCCUGCACCAGCGCCGGGUCGGAGAGUCAGAGGCCACCCUGAGAUGGACCGAGAUCUUCAGUUGGGGAGGCGCCUCCGCCACAGCAUGUUCCGAAGAGAUGAUUGGAAGAUGGAAGUGGAGGGUUAAAUAAUGAAAUGCAGCUAACAUUUCGGAAAGUUUCUAAAAGUUGUACAACAUGCCCUACAGCUACUCUUUAAAUCUCCAAAUCAAAUGAGUUUCAGGUGGAGCCUCUGGGAGGUGAUGAGGUCAUGAGAGUGGAGCCUCAUGAAUGGGAUGAGCACUCCUACAAAAAGGAUUCCAGAGAGCUCGCUUGCUCCUUCCACAGUGUGAGGACACAGAGGGAAGGCUCUGUCUAUGAAUGAGAAAGUGGGUCCCCACCAGACAUUGAAUCUGCCGCAUCUUGAUACUGGACUUCCAGUCUCCAGAACUGUGGGCAAUAAAUGUCUGUUGUUUAUUACCUGUCCAGUAUCUUUGGUAUUUUGCUAUAGCAACCCAAAUGGACUAAGAAAACACCAGAGGCCAUACCUAAUAAAAAU
rnacentral:lncRNA from 1 species